rnacentral:rRNA from 1 species
CCUACGGGUGGCAGCAGUGAGGAAUAUUGGUCAAUGGACGAGAGCCUGAACCAGCCAAGUAGCGUGAAGGAUGACUGCCCUAUGGGUUGUAAACUUCUUUUAUAUGGGAAUAAAAUGUUCCACGUGUGGGAUUCUGUAUGUACCCUAUGAAUAAGGAUCGGCUAACUCCGUGCCAGCAGCCGCGGUAAUACGGAGGAUCCGAGCGUUAUCCGGAUUCAUUGGGUUUUAAGGGAGCGUAGGCGGAUCGUUAAGUCAGUUGUGAAAUUUUGCGGCUCAACCGUACAAUAGCAGUUGAAACUGGGAGUCUGGAGUGCAGUAGAGGUGGGCGGAAUGCGUGGUGUAGCGGUGAAAUGCUUAGAUAUCGCGAAGAACUCCGAUUGCGAAGGCAGCGCGCUGGACUGCAACUGACACUGAGGCUCGAAAGUGUGGGGAUCGAACAGGAUUAGAUACCCGGGUAGUC